GCCGAAAUAGCUCAGUUGGGAGAGCGUUAGGCUGAAAUUAAAGGUCCCUGGUUCGAUCCAGGGUUUGGCA
rnacentral:tRNA from 1 species